ACUCAAAGGAAUAGACGGGAGCCCGCACAAGCGGUGGAUUAUGUGGUUUAAUUCGAAGCAACGCGCAGAACCUUACCUAGGUUUGACAUCCUUUGACAACUAGAGAGAUCUAGCUUUUGUAGCAAUACAACAAAGUGACAGGUGCUGCAUGGCUGUCGUCAGCUCGUGUGGUGGCAUGUCGGGUUAAGUCCCUCAACGAGCGCAACCCCUAUCUUUAGUUGCCAGCAUUAAGUUGGGCACUCUAGAGAGACUGCCGUGGUUAACACGGAGGAAGGCGGGGAUGACGUCAAGUCCUCAUGGCCCUUACAUCUAGGGCGACACACGUAAUACAAUGGUCGAUACAGAGGGAUGCGAAAUGGUGACAUGGAGCAAAUCUCAAAAAGUCGAUCUCAGUUCGGAUUAGAGUCUGCAACUCGACUCUAUGAAGGUGGAAUCGCUAGUAAUCGCGGAUCAGCACGCCGCGGUGAAUACGUUCCCGGGCUUUGCACACACCGCCCGU
rnacentral:rRNA from 1 species